AAAGCCUUUGUCCCGGAGCGGUAGAGCCACGGAAUCGGCGGCGGGGAACCGCGUGACCGGCAGCUGGACAUGACUUUCAAGGCCGGAUCCCUGUUGGGGCCCUUCGGUAGAUCGGCGGCGCUGUUGGGGGGCAGGUGGCUGCAGCCCCGGCUCUGGCUGGGGCUCCCGGACGCCUGCGGCCUCGGCGCUCCGCAGCAGGCCCGCGGCAAGGCCCGCGGGAACGAGUACCAGCCGAGCAACGUGAAGCGCAAGCACAAGCACGGCUGGGUCCGGCGCCUGAGCACGGCGGCCGGCGUCCAGGUCGUCCUGCGCCGCAUGCUCAAGGGCCGCAAGUCCCUGACCCACUGAGCUGCGACCCUCGCCCGGCUCGUCGUGCUGGUGCGGGGAGCUGGGGAGCACCCCGAAGUGUGCAGAAGUUCGGGGGGGACCGCAAGGGGCAGCAACGCCUCUUAGGCUGUGGACACACGCAGUGGUCCCCCCGUCCCUCGCGCGUGCUGACCUCCUCCCGGGCUAUUUUCAAGCAGAAGUCAGGCAUCACGUUAUUUCUUCUGUGAAUGUUUCAAAAAUGCAUCGCUCCAAGAUAAGGGCUCUUUAAAACAGUCACAAGACAUCAUCCUCCAACGUGAAUAAUUUGCAAGUAACACUCCGACAGGGACCACACCCCAUCACUGGACCCUACAUUCAACACUGGUCUUCAAUUUGGGUGAGUUUUCCCCUUUUCCGGGUUUCUCUCAUACUGCCUGUCAGAGUCCAGGACUCUCUCUGAAGCCCUGGCCAAGCGAGAGAUUCCCUCCGUCCACCAAGUAGGUGGACUCAAGCUGAUAAUUUCUGAGGACACAGAAAAAAUCCAGGUGCCCUGCCCCAGAGGCAUAGAUAGCAUCUAGUCCUCUGAUGCAUCCAUCUGUCUUACCAGGUAGGACCACUGUAGGGAUUAUCAUCGCCUUUUCCACAAAAAUGGGCCAGAAAUCGUCCAAGCCUGCAAGGGAGAGGGGGGUAUGACCCUAACAUGGCGGUCCUUAUGUUCACCCUAACACCCGCUGUGCUGCUGUUGGAAUAAUGCUUGGUUGCGUCCAAUCAUCGAGCACUUGCUGUGUACUUGGGGACCCAUCCCUGAUCUGCGGCGACCUCCGUCUGGCAGGGAAAGUGGAUUCGUACCCAGAUUCGGGCUGAGAGGGGGAUUGUGAGGGCUCCCGACUUGACCAUGACAAGAAUGCAGUCAAGGUGGGCUUCCUUGAGGAAGAGGCAGGGUCUGGGAGGAGAGAUUGGGUAGGAUUACAUGGGGAGCUGGAGGGGC